CCACUGGCCCCCAAGCCCUCACAGUUAGGGGGGGUGCGGGGCGGGUAGAGCUGGGCACAAGCCUGGAGUCAUGGAUGUCACCACCUCUGGUGCUGCCUCUGGAUGCAGCUGCCAGAUCCCAGAACAGCUUCUGUGUGGCCCCUUGGAGUCACAGGCUCUGGCUUAGAGCUCCACCAGGAAAGCUCUGACUGCUCUGCUGAGGGCGCAGGUCUGUGUCCUGAGGGAGUGACAAGCAAGAGUGGGGGGGGGCCCAGGCAGAGCCAGAGCUCCCACUGGGAGGACCAUAGGCUCUUCAUUCCAGGGGCAGUUUGCAAAGUAUUCCACCUGGCCAAAGGCGGCCGCCUGGACUCACUGAAUUUUGCUUCUUCAGAAAGGUGGAAAAUGAUAACAAUCAGAGAUACAUCUUAGAAAAUAGAUACAAUGUUCCAGACAUACUUGUACCCCCCCACACACACUAGAAAAGUUUUUGGUUGUAUUUCACAUGUAACAUGUAUGUAGUGUCCUCCCACACAAGUGAAACGUGUAAGUCACGCUUGCAGACAUGUAGAGAGUCCACACCUGCAGUCCUCCAUGCACCCACCCUGUGAGUGUUGCUCUCAUCCCCCUCUCAGAGGUCACUUAGACACAGAGGGUGGAGCAACUUGCAGGUCCCUGGUAAUCCCUUGCAGGUGGAGUCAGAUUCAAAUCCAGGACAUCCAGCUACAGAGCUGGCCCCUGUGUGACCACCUGCAGCACUGCCUCCCUUCCCAGGCUCUGAGCCCCUUUGUCAUUCGGAGGUGCUCAGAGAGUAAAAUCUCCCCUCAUUAGCCUCUUGGACACCCCUUCCCAUGCACUUGCACCUCCCACCCCUACUUUUUAAAUUUUCUGGUUAGUAUAUUCAGAAAUCUCCUUUUAAUUUCUCUGCCCGUGGGUACUAAUAUCCUCCAUUGUGUUUGGUAAAUGACAUUCAUCCAGCCUACAAAAGACCCACUGCAUCUAGCUUGCGGUUCAUUAAAACUUCAUAAAGAUGUCUAACAGCCCCCUUUCACUUUUCAUAACAUGGAUGAAGAGCACUGAAACUCCCAGGAGAGAGGGAGUGAGGACUCCGUGAUCGCACCACAUUUACACAAAAGGUAGCCUGAGAGCGAAUACCCCCAUUUCCCCAGUGAGGCCGCCUGCCAGUGUGAGGAGUCACCUGGUGACAUGGGCACCAAGCCCCCUUCUGGCUGCUCUGAGUCCUGUCCCUGCUGUGGCCAGGGAUCCUGCACUGUCCCUGCUGGACUGCAGACCUGUGGGGGCGUGGCCACAUCUCUGCCCCUUUCUGUGCUCUCCCAGGACAGUGUUUGGAACCUCAGAGGCAUCAGGAAGGCUUGCUGAAGUAAUAAGACCUGUGGAUACAUAGAUGGAGAUGUGGUCAGAGCGGUUGUUUUGAACACCACUCAUAAAGGCACCCACGGAUGUGCUUUAGCUCCAGGCCUGUGUUAGGACCGUGGGUAUUGGGACUCAGUCUGAACACUGAGACUUUUCCCUUCUACCCCCUGUCCCAAAGGGGGGCAUCACUGAGGCAGGACCAGGUCUCAAAAGCUCUGUAAACUGCGCAGCCCACAUAGACACCCUGGUCUGUCAGAGUCAAGGGGGCAGAGGGGCGCUGCUCCAGCCCUCUGCAGAGGCUCCAUGCAGAGAUGAAGCUUUAGGAACGUGAUUAUUAGGCAAACAGGAAGAAGAGAGCAGGGUUCUGGGCCUCUUUGUUGUGCUUCAAAAAUUGGAAGGGUCUUGCAAGUUGAUUUUGUCAUUGCUCCAACCACAUAGCAGUUCCCUAGCGAGACCCACGCUUCUGGGGCUGCGGCAUGCAGGUGGCUGAGCAUUGUGAAUGUCAGACUGUUUCUGUAACUAGAAUGGAGGAGAAUACAGCUUGUCUCCAGCAUUACCUCUUUAUUGACUCAAAUAAAAAAACACCCAGAAAAUAAUUGCCUUCCAUUAAACAUAAGUAUUUGGAACUCAUAAUCUAAGCAAAGCGACACAAUGUGGCUUGUUGGUGGCAGCAAUCAGAAG
rnacentral:lncRNA from 1 species